rnacentral:rRNA from 1 species
UACGGAGGGUGCAAGCGUUAUCCGGAUUCACUGGGUUUAAAGGGUGCGUAGGUGGGUAAGUAAGUCAGUGGUGAAAUCUCCGGGCUUAACCCGGAAACUGCCAUUGAUACUAUUUGUCUUGAAUACUGUGGAGGUCAGCGGAAUAUGUCAUGUAGCGGUGAAAUGCUUAGAUAUGACAUAGAACACCAAUUGCGAAGGCAGCUCGCUACACGAAUAUUGACUCUGAGGCACGAAAGCGUGGGGAUCAAAACAGG